rnacentral:rRNA from 1 species
UACGAAGGGGGCAAGCGUUGUUCGGAAUUACUGGGCGUAAAGCGCCAGUAGGCGGGUGGUUAAGUCAGGGGUGAAAUCCCGGAGCUCAACUACGGAACUGCCUUUGAUACUGGCCAUCUAGAGAUCGGAAGAGGUGAGCGGAAUUCCCAGUGUAGAGGUGAAAUUCGUAGAUAUUGGGAAGAACACCAGUGGCGAAGGCGGCUCACUGGUCCGAUACUGACGCUGAGGUGCGAAAGCGUGGGGAGCAAACAGG